GACGAACGCUGGCGGCGUGCUUAACACAUGCAAGUCGAGCGGUAAGGCCCUUUCGGGGUACGACGAGCGGCGAACGGGUGAGUAACACGUGGGUGACCUGCCCUCAGCUCUGGGAUAAGCCUGGGAAACCGGGUCUAAUACUGGAUAUGACUCCAUGACGCAUGUUGUGGGGUGGAAAGCCUUGUGCGGCUGAGGAUGGGCCCGCGGCCUAUCAGCUUGUUGGUGGGGUGAGGCCCUACCAAGGCGACGACGGGUAGCCGGCCUGAGAGGG
rnacentral:rRNA from 1 species